ensembl:misc_RNA Y_RNA Y RNA
GGCUGGUCCGAUGGCAGUGGGUUAUCAGAACUUCUUAACAUUAGUGUCACUAAAGUUGGUAUACCAUCCCCCCCCCACACACACACUGCUAAAUUUGACUGGCUUAAA